rnacentral:ncRNA from 1 species
UCUCGAUAAUAGCAAAGCAAGUGGAAGCUUGUGACGCAAAACUAUAGGGGCUUAUGGUGCAAGAAGGACGCACACAGCCAGCCAGCUGCCGAA